rnacentral:RNase_P_RNA from 1 species
GAAAGUCCGGGCUUCACAGGACAAGGGUGCCGGGUAACGCCCGGUGAAGGCGACUUUAAGGAAAGUGCAACAGAAAAGAAAACCGCCGAUCCUUCUUUUCGGAGAGGGAGGCAAGGAUGAAAAGGCGAGGUAAGAGCUCACCGGCUUCAUGGAGACAUGGAGGCCUUGUAAACCCCACCCGAAGCAACGUCGCGGGAGACAACCGUGGUCCGCGGGUCUCAGGAGACGGCUUGAGCCUUAGGGCAACUUAAGGCCACAGAUAGAUGAUCGCCAUAUACAGAACCCGGCUUAUCGGCCGUGUC